rnacentral:tRNA from 1 species
UCUUAGGUAGUUUAAGUUAAAAUAUUGAUUUGUGGUGUCAAAGAAAUAAUAUAUAAUAUAUUCUAAGAU